AGAUCUCCUGCAGCGUCUCUGACACUCUCUUCGAACUUUCGUGCAUCACUGCAAGGGAGAACUCAGUCCUACCAUCAAGUUUUCCAAAAGAGUUCUCUUCGAAGCCAAUGCAAAUUUCUGGCCAUAAUUCAGGUUGAAAGUCCGUCUGGCCGAAAGCCACGCUGAAGGGCCACAAGGGCGCAGAUAGCCUCAAAGGAGCUGAAAGCACUGUCGGGGCCCGGAGAAGUGGGAUCGUGCAGUGCAUCGCAGGAAGUGAGGAUCACGAGAACAUAGGACAAAUGACCAGCAAAGAGUCUGAUGCUACACAGAGGUCCAAAUGCAGGAAAAUUAGAAAACACGAGUGCCUUCUUCCUGCCACUGCACCUCACAAAGCCCACCACCAUGAGGUACGGGGAAUGCACGCGGGGCGGUAACUGUGGGAGGAGGGGAGGCCGAGGGAGACGGGACAGCACUGGUUAUCGCUUUACUUCUCUGACCUGAAAAGGCUCCAGACCAAGCCCAGCACCUUCUCCUUUCCUGACACAUGGGACACUCGGUCUUAGGGACUCUUGGCUGUGAGUCAAGCAACCUGGCUCUACUCUCACCUAGCAAGUUAUUCCACUAGCCUGGCUUCAGUUUCCUCACCUGCUCUAUAAACACAGGGUAAGGCCAUUCCUAGCUGUAGAUCUGAUGAUUUUAUCACUUCUGCUCUCUGAAACCGUGCCAAAUUCUCGGUACUGUCAUAAAGAGUUUGAGUCAGUCCUUCCUGUCUCUUAUACAAACAGUCCCAGCCCUCAGCUAAUGAGCCACAGACUGUGGAACUCUGCCAUAAGCAGAAAGAGCUAGAUCCUGAGAAACCAGGUACUCGGGAUAGGGAAGAAGGUCCUUGUCCCGAGGUUCCCUACUUGCUAGAGAAAAAUGGACUCAGAGAAACCCACUCAGCAAAACACACAAAAACAGUGCGAUCAAACCCCGAAUCAAAUGCUGCAAUGGAGAUUCGGGAGGGAAAGAUGAAACUAGACUUUAGAUUUGAUAUUAAAGGCAAUAAAAAGAUAGAAGCAGCCGUCAGUACCAGAAGUAAGAGAUUAAAGUGCUGCUUGAGGAAAAUAAUUCUUCCUACAAACAGAGCUUCAAAGAAAAUUUACCUUUGGUAAAUUGACCAGGUACACAGAAAAGGAGCAAGGCCUUAAAACUAAGCUAGGAAGUUGGAAGUUAUGGGAGAAACUAUUGAUAAAAAGUUGAUUCCAUACGCAGUGAUCACCGAUGGCUGUUAAUAUCACACAGAAGAAAGAGGACAACCGGAUACUAUGUGCCGCAUGAUGGAAAAAUACAGUCACACCUGUGAAGUGCUCGUGCCACCCAAACAAAAAAACCGAAAUUUCGUCAAGUCUCUAAAUCUAUCAGUUUACAGAAAGUAAAGGAGAACUGCAGCGAGAAGAUGUUAGUAUCAUGAGGAUUUAAUCAGCAGGAUACAGACCGGAGAACUGCAGUACCAACAGUCUGGUAUCAUCAACAAAUAAACUGCAGUUAGGGCGGUAUUAGAAUCUAUAGACUAAAAGCUUUAACUACCAGUAUUGCAUGUCUAUAUCUGUUUUCAUGAGAAGCCACUUUGAAGAUAUCAAUAUGUAAUACAACCACCA